ACAAAACAAAGAUUCACAUAAAACUAUAUUCAUUAAACGCUCAUGUCAAAACGCCGUUUUUGGUUCAAAAGCAGGUGAAUUAUAUGUAACUCCAAUGUUACAAGUAUAUAUUAAUCGUACAACAAUUUUUAAAUUCAAUUACAUAUUAAUAAGGACAGACACAAUAUUUAUCACUGUUUUCUCUUACUCCCCUUGACAUGGUGUUUAUUUUGGUUUGUAAGCGCCGCUGCACAUAAAUCACUCAACA
rnacentral:lncRNA from 1 species